AGAGUUUGAUCAUGGCUCAGGAUGAACGCUAGCGGGAGGCCUAACACAUGCAAGUCGAACGGGAUCCAUGAGCAAUCGUGGUGAGAGUGGCGCACGGGUGAAAACGCGUAUGUGCGUGGGAUUAAGAGAUGGAUAGCCGAUAUAAAUGUGGAUUAUUACCUCAAAGUUCUGAGAUUUCGCAUGGGAUUUCAUAUAAAGCUCCUGCGGUUAAAGAUGGGCAUGCGUGACAUUGGCUAGGUGGUAAGGUAACGGCUUACCAAGGCUACCAUGUCUGAGGGUUCUGAGAGGAUGAUCCCCCACACUGGGACUGACACACGGACCAGACUCCUACUGGAAGCAACACUGGGGAAUAGGGGUCAAUGGGCACAAGCCUGAACCAGCCGUCCCGCGUGAAGGAUGAAGGUCCUAUGGAUUACAACUUCUUUUGACAGAAGGAAAAACUACCACGAGUGGGAGCCCGUUGUGGGUAUGAAUAAGAUCGGCUAACUGGAUGGCGCGCCGCGGUAAUAGGGAGGAUGCGACCGUUAUCCGGAUUUCUUGGGUUUAAAGGAUGCGUAGGCGGCUCUUUCAGUCAGUGGCGAAAUCCUGCGGCAUAAAGGGUGAAUUGCCAUUGAGACUGAAUCCCUUGACUAAGGUUGAGGUAGGCAGAAUGUGUAGAGUACCGGUGAAAUGCGUAAAACUUACACAGAACACCGAUUGCGAAGCGCGCUUACUAAACUGGUAACAGACGAUGAUGUACUUGAUCGUGCAGAGCGAAAAAGAUGAGAGACCCUGGUAGUCCACACCGCAGACGAUGCUCACUCGCUGUAUGCAAUACAUAGUACGCGGCCAGCGGAAGCAUUAAGUGAGCCACCUGGGGAGUACGAUCGCAGGUUGAAAACUCAAAGGAAUUGACGG
rnacentral:rRNA from 1 species